UGGAGGGUAAACAGAAAAGUUCCAGCAAUCGGCGCCCCAGGGGCAUUUGGCACACAGGGAAAAUGAAUGAGGAGUCAUUCAGAAACCUAAGGAGAAGGUCUAGGAGGGGCUGCUAGACCAGCCCGUGCUGCCGAGGACUGGUGUGGUGAAGGUAGUGAAGUUUUGUGGGAGCCCUGGGGAACU
rnacentral:lncRNA from 1 species